AUGGGAGGCACCCCUGGCCAAGCAGAGUCUGGGGGCCAGGCUGGGAACGUGGCGCAGGGGGCAGCAGCUCCCUUCAUCUCGCAACAUUUUGGAGAGACCCUGGACACAUGCAUCCCCACCCCCAAACCCACUCCACCCACCCACACAGACACAUACUACAAAGACCCAGACUCUCGGGGUCGGGGACUAGACGGGAGACCUGGUAGUAGCAUCUUCCACCUCAGCUCUCGACUGCCCUGCUACCCCCCCCACCCCAAGCCCAGGGCCUGGAAAGCAAUCAGACAUGCUUGGAAUUCCAAAAAUGCGCCCUGGCUCGGGCCUCAGCCUGCUCCCCAGCCUUCUGGGAGACAGAGAGAGGGGCCAGGGCCUCAGGGCUGUCUGGGAAAGAAAGCCCAAUACCCCCACUCCGCCUCCCUCCCCCACCCCGUGCCUCUGACCCCAGUGGCUCCAGGGUCAGGGCAGGGCAGUAGAAGCCCAUGUGUCUGUUUCCCUUUGGGAGGCUCCCCACCCCCACCCCAUCUGGGCUGCGGCCCUCCUGGACAGAGAACACAAUGGCACAAAUCUAGGGUACAGGGGGCCCCGCUGGACACUGCGCACGGUCACCUGCCCCACCCCACCCCCGCCGCCCCCACUCACACACACCCUCCCAGCGCUGACAUUCCGGAAGGCAAGUCCUAGCAGAAGUUCCAGGGAGAGCCAGGCCAAGGCCGCUGGGGGAACGGUGAGCCUGGCCACACCCCACUAAGCUGGCAGAACAUGCCCGGCCUGGCCAGCGAGCCGUGCCCUGGGGAGCAGGGUGGGCUCGCUGGGACACGCUUCACAUACAGGCCUGGAGGCACGGAGAGCACAGGUGCGUGAGUGGCCAGCCUCCAUGCACAGUGUCCGGGCCCAACAGGGGAAAAGCCACUCCAGGUUCCCCUUCCCACCCCUACCCCCACCCCCGUGGGCCACAGCCAAGGCACAAACCUCAGCUCCUGGGAGUAGGGGGAGGACAGAUGGGGGCCACCCUGGCUCCAGUGGAAUCGCUGGGACUCUGCUUAACCAACGUCUACUCCCACCACCUUCUCCCAAAAAGGACUCAACAAGGGCCUUGAACCCCAGCAGGACAGAGCACAAAAGAACCGGACAACAAAGACACAGGCAGAGGGGCUGCGGGUCCAGCUGGGCUCUGCACCUCGGGCCUCAGCUACCCACCCCCAACCAGUGAGGACCCCCACCCCCACUCCGCGCGAGCAGAGCCAGAAG
rnacentral:lncRNA from 1 species